UGUCCAGCAGCACCUUAGAGACCAACUAAAUUUGUUCUGGGUAUAAGCUUUCUUGUGUGCAUUUCUUCAUGAAAUCUUAUACCCAGAACAAACUUAGCUGGUCUCUAAGGUGCUACUGGACA